CUAGCCGUAAACGAUGGAUACUAGGUGUUAGAGGUAUCGACCCCUCUAGUGCCGGAGCUAACGCAUUAAGUAUCCCGCCUGGGGAGUACGACCGCAAGGUUGAAACUCAAAGGAAUUGACGGGGGCCCGCACAAGCGGUGGAGCAUGUGGUUUAAUACGUCACUAACCGUAGAACCUUACCCAGGCUUGACAUCCAGGGAAUCCUGAUGAAAGUCGGGAGUGCCUUUUGGAGCCCUGAGACAGGUGU
rnacentral:rRNA from 1 species